ACUGAGUGUUGCUCAGGCUGGCCUUGAACUGGAGAUUCUUCUGCCUCAGCCUCUCAAAUUACCUGCAUGGAGGUUAUGUGCACCGCGCCUAGAUUUUUUUUUUAUUUUUUGUAUGUUUGUUCAACUGUCUUGAGACAGCUUCAGUAAGUUCUCCAAGCUCCCCUCGAGCUCUCGGUCCGCCUGCGUUAGGGCACCGCCUUCCGCGGUCGUCGCUGGGGAUCCCCUCCUGGGCAGCAGGCUCCGCUCCCCGCCCGCCUCCCCGUCGCCCCAUCCACUCCAGGGCAAACAGCCGUUGCCAGGCUGCCGAGGUGUUGUGCUGACGCUCGGCCUCGGGAACUCCCUCUUCCUGCUGUGCUGGAUCCCGUCAUCUGGCAACAACAACGUUGCCAUGGAGACCGGCCUGCCCGAGUCCUCGCCGUGCGCACCGGCGGUGUCACCGGGAAGGUCCCGCAGACCGCCCGCAGCGCGGCGCGCGAGCGGCUUCCUGUUCACGUCGCCAGGUGACGCCUCCGGGCUCUGGUGCGUUUUUAGCUGGGGCGGAGAAGAACCUGGAGCCGAAGCUGCUGUCUCCGAUGUUGGCGUCUUCCUGAAUCCGCCUGCGGCUCCUCCUCUCUCGGUGUGAAAAAUAAAAGCCUGGCGUUGGGCGCCCCUCGCCGAGGCCUGAGAAGUCAGCGGUGGUGGCGCGAAGGACACAGAUGGAGACUGCGGCCUCCCGUGUGUGUGCUUCCCAGGCGGCUUAACCGGCUCCACACUUCCACAGUAAUCAUAACUUAUGAGCGUGAAUACUGCAGCUGACAAUCAUCGGGGCUGGCACACGCGGUGAAAGAGUAGCUGGCCCAGACCGGACACUUGAACCAGGAAAAGCCGCAGCCCUAUAGAUUUGCCUGUAACCCUAUACCCCCAUCCCUGUAACCCUGGCACCAAAACGUGUGCCAAUGAAAUACCUGUGCAUCCCUAAUGCCCCUUGGGGUCCGCCCCAGACAGAGGUUACUUAUGGGCCUGACUCCACGUGUGAAGAAGAAGAAGGAGAAAGGGAGAGUGUGUUCCAGAGAGAGACCGCCCGCCCCGGGUGCAGUGGAGAUGCUGCGCCCGGGCCAGGGAGGGGGGUGUGUGUGUGUCUCUCCCCGCAUUCCCGAAAUAAAGCCACCGCCGCCCACUACUUUCACUGCCGUCCACUCCACUCCUUCCACGGACCUCUUCCUCUCCCUCUUUCCCUUCCCCUCUUCUUCCCCUUCUUUUCAGACCUCACACUAGGGAUUGAACCCACGGCCUUUGUUCUAAGUUACAUGUUCACUUUAUUUAUUUAAUUUUUUUUACAUUUUGAAGCAGGGUCUUGUUGCUAAGUUGCUAAAUUCCCUGGGAAGUUGCGUCUUCCUGCCUUAGCUUCCUAGAGUGCUAGCAUGACAGCUGUGUGUCUUGUUUCUUCGACAGUGUACAUUUAGGCAAAACUAACCAUACACCAUCUAGAUAAUUUGGCACUUUCUUUUCUUCUUUGAUUUGAUUUUAUGUCAUAAGCACUUUCCCCUGUCAUUAUGAACUCUUCCUAAAUAAUCUUAUUGAUGGUCAUUUCAUGCUUAUAUUAUGUAUAAAAUGUCAUCUUUUUUCCAUGUACUAUGACAUGGAUCAAAGAGUUUAUUUUUUAAGUCAUACAUCUGUGUUAUAACCCAUAAAUAUGUACAAUUAUUAGUAUGUGUCAAGAAAAUAUAAAACAAAAUUGCAAUUAAAAGUAAUAAUGAUAAGCCAGGCAUGGUGGUGCACUCCUGUAACUCCAGCACUCAGGAGGCUGAGGCAGGACAAUCAUUGGAAAGUUCGAGACCAGCCUGGGCUAUAAAGUAAGCCCAAGGUCAGUCUGAACUUCACAGUGAGAUCCUGUCUCAAAAAGACAAAUAAAAUAAAAUAAAAAGUAAUCAUGAUAAUAAAUCUGUCUUGGCCACACUAUAACCAAAGUUCUUUGGAAAAGCCAACCUCACGUGUGUUUUGCGAUAUCUUUGCUGUUUUCUUCAAGACACACAUGUGCAUAUGCGCUAACACAUGCACAUAUGUGUACACACACUCACAUAUGCGUACACACACUCUGGAGCCCAAUGGACCACAGCUGCGGAUGUAACUCCAGGCUUUCUGUCCAGCAGGACAGUCCUUGUCCCUGCUCCUGGCCAUGGCCUUGUGAUGGACCCUGUCCUCUCCAUGGGCCAGGCUUGCUUUGUCUACGUGGCAUCCAGCCAGGAGCAGUCCAUUCCCACCCCCAGUAAUCCCAGCACUCCCGGAGGCUGAGGCAGGAGGAUUAUGACUUCCAGUCUAAGCCCGGGAAAUUAAUGAGACCCUGUCUCAUAAUUUAAAAUAUAGGCUGAGGCUGUAGCUCAGUCGGAGGAUCCCGGGCUCAAUUUCCAGCGCUUCCAAACAAAACAAAGAACUACCCAUGGGAACUAACUAGAUGGCACCUGUCCCAGGAGCAUCUUCCGCUUUGGCCCCGUGUGGGCCACGCAGUAGGUGCUCAGAAUGUUGAAAAGGGCAGGGGACCACAGCACACUCCCUUUUAUUUUUAGUAAGCAAUACUGCUAGGUGUGAUGGCGCAGGCCUGUACGCACAGCACACAGGAGCCAGGGCAGGAGAACCAUGAAUUUAAAGCCAGUCUGGCUACACAGAGUCCAAGGCCAGUAUAGAUUACACAGUCAGACCCUUGGAGGUGUGACCGCAGACAGGGUGGGGUGAACCAGGCUGUGGGACCAGCGGGGCCUGUGAGUCACAAGAUCCCAGGCAACCAGGGCACCACAGAGAACUUCCACGAGUGCCCGUCAGAGGUGGAUGGCAAAAACGGCCCGGCUGGGGGAACCCACGUCCUGGUCUGUGCCGGCACCGUGCCGUCUCUGCUAGAGAGCUGUGUGCUUUCAUUUUUGUUUUUGCCUUUGUCUUUUUUCUUUGUUUGGCCCAAAUUCGCUCUGCAGAGCUGGUUUCUUCCAUAUCCAUUAACCCCGCACUUUUCAAAUAAACAUUGGAAACCGUU